AACGAACGCUGGCGGCAUGCCUAACACAUGCAAGUCGAACGAGACCUUCGGGUCUAGUGGCGCACGGGUGCGUAACGCGUGGGAACCUGCCCUUAGGUUCGGAAUAACUCCCCGAAAGGGGUGCUAAUACCGGAUAAUGUCUUCGGACCAAAGAUUUAUUGCCUUUGGAUGGGCCCGCGUUGGAUUAGCUAGUUGGUAGGGUAAAAGCCUACCAAGGCGACGAUCCAUAGCUGGUCUGAGAGGAUGAUCAGCCACACUGGGACUAGGACACGGCCCAGACUCCUACGGGAGGCAGCAGUGGGGGAUAGUGGACAAUGGGCGAAAGCCUGAUCCAGCAAUGCCGCGUGAGUGAUGAAGGCCUUAGGGUUGUAAAGCUCUUUUACCCGGGAUGAUAAUGACAGUACCGGGAGAAUAAGCUCCGGCUAACUCCGUG
rnacentral:rRNA from 1 species